AGGUCGGUCGGAGGAUGGCGGUGUGGUGGCGGCGGCGUUGCGACCUCGGCAGUGCGUUACCUGCUCUCCGAGCCCGAUCGCCUACCUCACACUAGAACCCUGUCACACGGUGGCUGGACUUCACCCGCAUCCCCGCCUCCGUGGCCGAAAAGUUAGGCCACCGCGUGCGGAGCGUCAGGGUCUGGGGGCUCGCCCCGGUCCUGGGCUGGGCGAGCCGAGUCGAGGAGUCCUCGGGCGCUGGUUAAACCAGCCUUUAUGAUGCCGGGGACGCCGUUGGAGGAGAAGGGCUGCACAACUCGCUUGCUGCGGCCGGGCUUUUAUUGGAAGGAACGGUGGCGCAGUCGAAGGGGAAGAAGUGAAAACGUUGAAUUUGAGUUAGAAGUGUUUUGGGGGCUGGGCGGUGGUGGCGCACGCCUUUAAUCCCAGCACUUGGGAGGCAGAGGCAGGCCGAUUUCUGAGUUCGAGGCCAGCCUGGUCUACAGAGUGAGUUCCAGGACAGCCAGGGCUAUACAGAGAAACCCUGUCUCGAAAAAAAAAAGAAAGAAAGAAAAAAAAAAACAGCCGGGGGGUUGGGGGGGGACGGACACGGGGAUAGAAAAAGGUGUGGUGUGUAAAAGUAGGAUGUCUUGAGAGAGCCUCAUACACUCAGAUGUCCUCCGUGAUGGACUGUAAAUUACCGUGUGCAAGCGGGGCGAGAAAAUGACGGGAAGGCCUUGAUAUAAGAGCACUCGAUUCCUCCCAAUUCUCAGAUCUGCUCUUUUUCCUCAAGAAAACUCAGAAGUCUUCCUUUGUGCGUCCUUGUGUUUUUUUGAGACAGGGUUGCACUAUGGAGCCCUGGUUGACCUGGAGCACUCAAGAGACCCCCCUGUCCUAGCUUUCCAUAACUGUGCCACCAUGCCCAGUUUGACUUCCAUUUUCUGUCAUUGUUCUUCCAAAUUUCACUGCACACAAUUUAUAAAUCUUCUGUAGCAUUACCUUUUUAGUUUCUCUUGCCUUAUAUUUAUCCAGGACUCCUUUAAUAGAUAUUAAAUAUAUGUCUAUUAAAUAAAGAUAUAACUAUAAAUAUA
rnacentral:lncRNA from 1 species